rnacentral:rRNA from 1 species
UGAGGAAUAUUGGUCAAUGGGUGCAAGCCUGAACCAGCCAUCCCGCGUGAAGGACGACUGCCCUAUGGGUUGUAAACUUCUUUUGUAUAGGGAUAAACCUACCCUCGUGAGGGUGGCUGAAGGUACUAUACGAAUAAGCACCGGCUAACUCCGUGCCAGCAGCCGCGGUAAUACGGAGGGUGCAAGCGUUAUCCGGAUUUAUUGGGUUUAAAGGGUCCGUAGGCGGACUUAUAAGUCAGUGGUGAAAGCCUGUCGCUUAACGAUAGAACUGCCAUUGAUACUGUAAGUCUUGAGUAUAUUUGAGGUAGCUGGAAUAAGUAGUGUAGCGGUGAAAUGCAUAGAUAUUACUUAGAACACCAAUUGCGAAGGCAGGUUACCAAGAUAUAACUGACGCUGAGGGACGAAAGCGUGGGGAGCGAACA